AACGAACGCUGGCGGCAGGCUUAACACAUGCAAGUCGAACGCCCCGCAAGGGGAGUGGCAGACGGGUGAGUAACGCGUGGGAAUCUACCGUACCCUACGGAACAACAGUUGGAAACGACUGCUAAUACCGUAUACGCCCUACGGGGGAAAGAUUUAUCGGGGUAUGAUGAGCCCGCGUUGGAUUAGCUAGUUGGUGGGGUAAAGGCCUACCAAGGCGACGAUCCAUAGCUGGUCUGAGAGGAUGAUCAGCCACAUUGGGACUGAGACACGGCCCAAACUCCGACGGGAGGCAGCAGUGGGGAAUAUUGGACAAUGGGCGCAAGCCUGAUCCAGCGAUGCCGCGUGAGUGAUGAAGGUCUUAGGAUUGUAAAGCUCUUUCACCGAUGAAGAUAAUGGCGGUAGUCGGAGAAGAAGCCCCGGCUAACUUCGUGCCAGCCGCCGCCGUAA
rnacentral:rRNA from 1 species